AGGGCCUGCAGUGGAAGCAUGUCUGGCAUCCACUGCAGCACAAUCUGCUUAAUUCUGAAGGCCAUCUGUUCGCUGGAUAUGCAUAUCUUUUUUACACCAGAAUGCUCUGCACGGGGACCUCUGAGGCACCUAUGCUGCUGUUCCCAGAGGCUUAAGGACAAGCUGUGGGACAUGUGAGCGUCUGGGCUGAUUGCAUGAUGUUUAUGAGACCAACUUUAAAGGUUACUUCCCGAGGAUGUCUCCCCUGGCCACCCGGUAUAAAGCAGUCACGCAGGCACUCCAUCCUGGCAGCAAUCUCUGCCUGAUAUGUUUGUGCUCGUGAAAAUGCAAGCACCUUGAGACGCAGGGACUGCAUCUGCCCUUUUUGCUGCACCGUUACCAGCACCUAGAGU